GCAAAUCCGUGCAACAAUGACAUGAAGAUGGCGGGCACCCACUGAGAACGGACAGGAAGCUUUUAUGUAAUAAAUGAAGGUGGAUACUUGUAGGAGAUUGGUAGUAAUGGAUGUUUUAAUAUAGUGUUGAAUAUACUAUGUGUUUAAAAGUAAAAUAGUUUUUUGUUUGUACAUUAUCUUCUAUAGUUGUUGGUUUUUUUGUAUAUUGCCUAUUAUGAUUUUUUAUGUACAUGUCUUUCUGUGUUAAUAAAUUCUCCUGUUGAAUAAA